rnacentral:rRNA from 5 species
AAAUUGAAGAGUUUGAUCAUGGCUCAGAUUGAACGCUGGCGGCAGGCCUAACACAUGCAAGUCGAACGGUAACAGGAAGCAGCUUGCUGCUUCGCUGACGAGUGGCGGACGGGUGAGUAAUGUCUGGGAAACUGCCUGAUGGAGGGGGAUAACUACUGGAAACGGUGGCUAAUACCGCAUAACGUCGCAAGACCAAAGAGGGGGACCUUCGGGCCUCUUGCCAUCAGAUGUGCCCAGAUGGGAUUAGCUUGUUGGUGAGGUAACGGCUCACCAAGGCAACGAUCCCUAGCUGGUCUGAGAGGAUGACCAGCCACACUGGAACUGAGACACGGUCCAGACUCCUACGGGAGGCAGCAGUGGGGAAUAUUGCACAAUGGGCGCAAGCCUGAUGCAGCCAUGCCGCGUGUAUGAAGAAGGCCUUCGGGUUGUAAAGUACUUUCAGCGGGGAGGAAGGUGUUG